rnacentral:rRNA from 1 species
CCUACGGGAGGCAGCAGUAGGGAAUCUUCCACAAUGGGCGAAAGCCUGAUGGAGCAACGCCGCGUGGGUGAAGAAGGUCUUCGGAUCGUAAAACCCUGUUGUUAGAGAAGAAAGUGCGUGCGAGUAACUGUUCACGUUUCGACGGUAUCUACCCAGAAAGCCACGGCUAACUACGUGCCAGCAGCCGCGGUAAUACGUAGGUGGCAAGCGUUAUCCGGAUUUAUUGGGCGUAAAGGGAGCGCAGGCGGGCUUUUAAGUCUGAUGUGAAAGCCUUGGGCUUAACCGGAGGAGUGCAUUGGAAACUGGGGGACUUGAGUGCAGAAGAGGCAGGUGGAACUCCAGGUGUAGCGGUGAAAUGCGUAGAUAUAAGGAAGAACACCAGUGGCGAAGGCGGCUCGCUGGACUGUAACUGACGCUGAGGCACGAAAGCGUGGGGAGCAAACAGGAUUAGAUACCCUAGUAGUC